ACGAGCUCUACAUUUUAUACAUUAAGGUCAGAAAUGUCCGACUGUCUGUUCAAAAGUUACAAUGAGAUAAUUCUUAAAAGUAUAGUUUUGUGUGUAUAUCUUUUAAAAGGUAACAGAUAGCAACCUACUAUAAACUGCAAAGAUGAUCAGUAAUUCAAGACCUUCAAUUUGAGGUCAAUGUCAGGUCAUGAUGAAAUUUCACCUUGACCUUCACAGUAUACUAUGACCUUGACCUUGUGAUAUAUGAAAGGUCAAGUGGUCCUGAGUUGAAUGGUGAUAGUCCCAUGUCUCUACGACUUCCGGUUCUCAAGUUUGGUAUUGCAUCAUAUAUUUGAUGAUUAAUUGUGACCU
rnacentral:lncRNA from 1 species